rnacentral:rRNA from 1 species
GUCGAACGCUGGCGGCGUGCCUAAUACAUGCAAGUCGAACGCAGUGGGGACGGGCGAGUAACACGUGGGUAACCUCCCAUCAGAGGGGAUAACACUUGGCAACAGGUGCUAAACCCAUACUGAUUGAUGUACCUGCUGUGCAUUAGCCUGUUGGUGAGGUAACGGCUCACCAAGGCCACGAUGCCUAGCCGGCUUGAGAGGAUGAUCGGCCACACUGGGACUGAGACACGGCCCAGACUCCUACGGUAGGCAGCAGUAGGGAAUCUUGGGCAAUGGACGAAAGUCUGACCGAGCCACGCCGCGUGUGUGAAGAAGGUUUUCGGGUCGUAAAGCUCUGUUGUUAGAGAAGCGGUAUCUAACCAGAAAGCCACGGCUAACUACGUGCCAGCAGCCGCGGUAAUUC